rnacentral:misc_RNA from 1 species
CUAAUUUCUUGUGCAAGUAAAAUCGAUUUCUUCCCUUCUUCUCACUCUAUCUCUGCGCUCUUAAUUAAUCGAAACAUCUCUUCUUCGAUCCUUCAUUUCUCGUGCAAUCUUUAACCAUGGUGCUCGAGGCGACAAUGAUUUGUAUAGAUAACUCGGAAUGGAUGCGAAACGGAGAUUACUCUCCCUCCAGAUUUCAAGCUCAAGCAGAUGCUGUUAAUCUUAUUUGUGGGGCUAAAACGCAGUCAAAUCCCGAGAAUACGGUGGGAGUUCUCACGAUGGCGGGAAAAGGUGUUCGUGUUUUGGUCACGCCUACUAGCGACCUUGGCAAGAUCUUAGCUUGCAUGCACGGUUUAGAAAUAGGUGGUGAGAUGAACUUGGCUGCUGGCAUCCAGGUUGCACAAUUGGCACUUAAGCAUCGUCAAAACAAAAAGCAGCAACAAAGGAUUAUUGUCUUUGCUGGAAGCCCUAUCAAACAUGAUAAGAAGACAUUGGAGAUGAUUGGAAGGAAGUUGAAAAAGAGCAAUGUAGCACUUGAUAUUGUUGAUUUCGGUGAAGAAGAAGAUGGUAAAGCAGAGAAGUUGGAGGCUCUUCUUGCUGCUGUUAACACUAAUGACACCAGCCACAUUGUUCAUGUUCCUCCUGGUCCAAAUGCUCUUUCUGAUGUGCUUAUCAGUACACCUAUCUUCACUGGUGAUGGGGAAGGUGGAAGUGGUUUUGCUGCUGCAGCAGCAGCAGCUGCAGCUGGUGGUGUUUCUGGUUUUGAAUUUGGUGUGGAUCCCAAUCUUGAUCCUGAACUGGCCCUUGCUCUUAGAGUUUCAAUGGAGGAGGAGAGGGCCAGGCAAGAAGCAGCUGCCAAAAAGGCUGCAGAGGAGGGCUCUAAGCAGGAAAAAGGAGGGGAACAACCAUCUAGCUCACAGGACGCAACCAUGACUGAAAGUGCCAGUGUUGCAGCUUCUGAAGCUGACAACAAGAGAAACGAUUUAACGGAUGAAGAGAAUGCUCUCCUACAGCAAGCUCUUGCAAUGUCAAUGGAUGAACCUGCCUCUAGCCAUGAAUUGCGAGAUACUGAUAUGUCAGAGGCUGCUGCAGAUGAUCCAGACUUGGCACUGGGUGAGUCCUUAUUUCUAGUAACUUUAUUGUUUGUGCAUGUGUAUCUGUUUUGUCUGUCUUUUCUUUCAGUCAUGGUCACAGCAAGGAAUUUGAUAAGGCAAGAUUUUGAGGUUAGGGCUAGUUUUCUUUUUUGUACGGAAAAGCUUAGGAACACUAAUGUGAUCUCAUGCUUAGAAGGAUGCAUUUGGUAAGUAUUGGGGAUUUGUGGCAUUUUACUUAGCAAAAGAAGUUUGCUGAUGACAUGCCUAAUGAAUAUAGUUAUUGUGACAUUUGCUUUUCUUGUCAGUCAGAUGUGACUGUAGGAAUGCAUCUCAAAUUCUUUUGUUUCUUCAAUUGACGAAGACAUGCCCUGCAGUACAUAUUUCCUUAAAAUCUGGCAUCCAACUAUUUUAGAGUCUUCUGUAAUUUAAUUUUGUUACUGACAAUGCUAAAUUUAUUUUAUUAUUGCGGCAAUCAUUUCUGUUAAUGUCUUUGGUCCUUGCAGCUCUUCAAUUGUCUGUGCAAGACAGUACAAAAGAUUCAGGAAGCCAGACAGAUAUGAGCAAGUUGUUGGCUGACCAGUCUUUUGUAUCCUCCAUCCUUGCUUCAGUAUGGCAUCUUCAAUUUUGACUGUUACAUUUGCGUUCUCCUAUCUAAUACAAUAGAGCAAAAAUUAUAUGGUUUCCUCCAAUGCUGUUAUUAUUCAAUAUUUCAUUGCUUCUGCAGCUUCCAGGGGUUGAUCCAAAUGAUCCUUCAGUUAAAGAUUUGCUUGCUUCUAUGCAAAGCCAGUCUGAGCCCCAAGAAAAGAAGGAUGAAGAUGAGCCGAAGGAGGAGAAGUGAUAAUUUUCUUGUGUUGCAUUCUUGUGUCUGAAAGCCCUUCACUGUGGCCGUUUUAUUUGUGUUGAGAUUUGAGAGGGGGCUUCAGAAGGCAGGCAUCAUUUGAACGUGGAGAAGAUUAAUUUGUAUCCCUCUUUCAAUGUUUCAAUAUUACAUUGUUACGUUAAAAUUCAAACCUGUCUCUGGUUUUGUUUCGAUCUUGGUCUAAAUGAUGGGCAAUGGUCAUGAAUCAUCGAUUGAUUGAUUUUGCUAUUUGCACGUCAAAGAGAUGAAAAAGUUUGCAUGUGCUGUCAUAAAUCGUUUUUGCUAUCAUGAAAAGUAAUUUUCUAUCUCAUUUUUUUCUGAGCAACAUGUCUUGCAUAGAGCCGCUUCCAUGUGAUGAUGUUCUGGUUUCCUGUUCAUUUGGAAACAGGUCUUGGAGUGCAAAAGAAUUUGUGUAGCCGUUAAAAGCAGAGACGUCAUUGCGAGUUUAAGUGAUGGAAAGAGUAAAUUGGUCACUUCAUUUGAGCAACUAAUGCUUGCUGUGGCAGCAGCAAUGGUUGGCAUUGUCCAAUAAAGUAGUGCUAAAAGCAUUUAAGUAGAAGAAAACACAUUGAUAUACUAGCGACUUAUGGUUCCCAUUAAUGGGACUAAUCAUUUUAAGUACGAGUUAGCGUAUUGAAAUGUGAGUUUCAGUUAGAGUUCAAUGGUUGAUAACAGUGAUGAAAAUUUUCAGCAAGGCAAGUUUGAGUUUGCAUGUAAUAGAGACCUCAGCCGUAUUUCCAGCUCGUUCAAGUCCAAGCAGUUUGCCAUAAAUCGUUUCCAGCCAACAGUGACCCACCCAACUCCGUCGAAAAAAUAAAUUAUUAAAUAUGUUAAUUUGAAAUGCCAUUAUGUUUUUUUUACUCACAUUUGGGAUUUUAGGUUGAGGAAGAAUUAUGGAAUGAUUAAUUCUUCUUGUCCAUUUUAUUGAAUCCAAUUAAUUGGUAUUUGGUGGACUUAAGUCAAUUUGACAAGUUCGAGAUUUAUUGUUUCCUACUUUAUUGGCUAGAUUAUAAAAGAUAUAUUUUUCUUAUAAACAAUAAA